UGUGGCCUACGGGGGGCAGCAGUAGGGAAUCUUCGGCAAUGGGCGAAAGCCUGACCGAGCAACGCCGCGUGAAUGAAGAAGGCCUUCGGGUUGUAAAAUUCUGUUUUAAGGGAAGCAAGGUGAUAGGAGGAAAUGACUAUCAAUUGACGGUACCUUAUGAGAAAGCCACGGCUAACUACGUGCCAGCAGCCGCGGUAAUACGUAGGUGGCAUGCGUUAUCCGGAUUUAUUUGGCGU
rnacentral:rRNA from 1 species